UGUCUCAAGACUAAGCCAUGCAUGUCUAAGUAUAAACGCUUCUAUACUGUGAAACUGCGAAUGGCUCAUUAAAUCAGUUAUAGUUUAUUUGAUGGUUUCUUACUACUUGGAUAACCGUGGUAAUUCUAGAGCUAAUACAUGCACAAAGUCCCGACUCUUCGGAAGGGAUGUAUUUAUUAGAUCCAAAACCAAUGCGAGUCUCUCGGGGCUCGGUUCCUUGGUGAUUCAUGAUAACUGCUCGAACCGUAUGGCCCUUGCGCCGACGGUGCUUCAUUCAAAUUUCUGCCCUAUCAACUUUCGAUGGUACGGUAGUGGCCUACCAUGGUUGCAACGGGUGACGGAGAAUUAGGGUUCGAUUCCGGAGAGGGAGCCUGAGAAACGGCUACCACAUCCAAGGAAGGCAGCAGGCGCGCAAAUUACCCAAUCCCGACUCGGGGAGGUAGUGACAAUAAAUAACAAUGCCGGGCUAUUGUAGUCUGGC
rnacentral:rRNA from 1 species